rnacentral:rRNA from 1 species
GAUGAACGCUGGCGGCGUGCUUAACACAUGCAAGUCGAACGUGAAGGUUCGCUUCGGCGGACUGGAAAGUGGCGGACGGGUGAGUAACACGUGGGUACCUGCCUUGGAGAGGGGGAUAACCAUUGGAAACGAUGGCUAAUACCGCAUAGUCCCAUGCCCUUAGGGGUGUGGGUAAAACUGAGGUGCUUCAAGAGGGGCCUGCGUUCGAUUAGCUAGUUGGUGGGGUAAAGGCUUACCAAGGCGAUGAUCGAUAGCUGGUCUGAGAGGAUGAUCAGCCACACGGGAACUGAGACACGGUCCCGACUCCUACGGGGGGCAGCAGUGAGGAAUAUUGCACAAUGGGGGAAACCCUGAUGCAGCAACGCCGCGUGGAGGACGAAGGCAUUUGUCGUAAACUCCUUUUCUAUGGGAAGAGUAAGGACGGUACCAUAGGAAUAAGUCACGGCUAACUACG